AAAGCGGUCCCCUGCCUGGAUGAAUUACAAGAAUGUUCCUGAAAGCUCUCCCAUGACAUUUUAAGCAGCAGCUGCCCCAAGUAGGGAGACAAAAAAGGAUGAUUUCACCAAGGGAGGAACAAAAGACAUCAUUUCACAGACUUGCCCACCUUGGCGCCUUUCCCACGAGCUGAUCUCACGAAAGGACCGAUUCUCCUGGAUACCUCACCUGCCUAUCAGGGAGCGAGAGAGAAGAGAUAGACAUGCAGUAAAGAGAAAGCCAUGUGACGACACAGACACACAGAGGAAGGUGGCCAUGUCAUGAUGAGGGCAGAGAUUGGAGUUAUGCAGCUACAAGCCAAGGAAAGCCGGUGACUACCAGAAGCUAAGAGACAGAGAGCAUGGCCCUACCAAGAACCAUGGUUUUUGAACUUCUUGCCUCCAGAACGGUGAGACUAAAUUUCUGUUGUUUUAACAACACAGAUAGCAAUUUCUUAAGCACUUACCACACACUAGGCAAUGUGCCUGGCUUAUACUAUCUCUUUUGAUCUUCAUAUAAAUUUACUUAUACCUAUUGUUCUCCCUUUAAUACUGAAGUUCCACAGAGGCUUAAUAACUGGCCCAGUGUCUCAUAGCUGGAACACAGAUGGUGGUGCUGGAAUCUGAAUGCUGCCUCGGUGCCUCUAAAGCACUGGCACCAAGAAAAUGAAUCUCUUGUGCUGCUUAUGGGGAAGGAGGGGCCCACAUGGACAGGUCUUCCCUGACCAGAGCAGCUUCAUUUGUUCAACCAAGGGCCCCCACUUGUCAGGUCAACGUCUACCUGACUGAAAGAGGCUCAACCAAGCCUGGUGUCCUUGCCUGAUCUUGGCAACCACUGGAUCAUGAGCCCAGCUUUUCAACGGUCCUCAGAGCCCUGGGCACAUGUGAGUCCUGGAAUCCUCCUGUUUAAAAGUGGGAAACUGGAAGGAAGAGUGGAGGAUACCAGUGACCUAUAUUGGGAGCCUCUGUUCCAGCUCUGUUUAGCAGCUCAUUUAGACAAUGGCUGGGAGCCCAACAUCACGGCAGGCAGGGCUUAAUUGCACCAGUUCUCGUUAUUAUUGUGAAACAAUGAAGGCUGCUGUGUUCAUCAGCCAACGGGAUCCCAGCUGAAGCACACAAUGCUUAUAAUUGGGGGCAACUUAGAGAGGACAUCCCAAUUUGCCUAUGCCUGUUUAAUAGAAAUCAUACUUGGAAAUGUAAAGGGACAGUCAUAAGCUUGUUCCCCUGCUGUCUUGAAGGGAUGAUAUUUUGCUCACAAAAGUUGGAAAAUAAUUUCAAUGUUGUUGGCAAAUACAGUGUCUGUAAGACUUUGGGUUUUGUGAGGCCAGGGAAUGUGUCAGACUCAUUUCUGUGUCCUCAGUUUUUAGUACUUGCCUGAGACAUAUCUUGUGAUCAGUAAUAUUUGCUGAAUAAAUGAAAGUUCUGUUCAUCUGGAAGAAUAUCUUUCAGUAGGAAGAUGCUAAGCUCACCUCCGCCCACAGGCACACCAAAAUUACAACUAUUUACAGAGCAACUAUUGAUGAGAAAGAUUGGAAGACUGGCAGAAAAGCUCUUCUACGACUAAAAAUAUAAAGAAGGAACCACAACAAGACAGGUAGGAGGGAUGGAGAUGUGGUAUAGUCAGGACCCAUACCCCUGGGUGGGUGAACCACAAAUGGGAGAAUAAUUACAGAGGUUCUCCAUGAGCGAGGGGCUUGAGCUCCACAUCAGGCUCCCAAGCCCAGUGGUCCUGCACUGAGAAGAUAAGCCCCCAGAACAUUUAGCGUAAAGGUCAGUAGGGCUUAAUCAGGAGAGCCAGGGGCUAUGGGGAAUAGAGACUCCACUCCUAAAGGGCACACACAAAAUCUCACAGGACCCAGUGCAGAAGCAGUAAUUUGAAAGGAGCCUGGGUCAGACCCACCUGCUGAUCUUGGAGAGCCUCCUGCAGAGACAAGAGGCAACUAGAGCUCACCCUCGGGACACAGACACUGGUGACAGCUGUUUUGGGAAGCUCGUUCUACCACGAGGACACUGGUGCUGGCAAGCACCAUUUUGGAAUCCUCCCUCCAACACUAGGACCAGGCUCCACCCACCAGUCUGUCAGCACCAGUACUGCGAUGCCUCAGGCUGAGCAACUAGCUAGGUGGAGACACAGCCCCACUCACCAGCAGCCCUGCUGCCUUAAAACCCCCUGAGCUGCUUUGGGACCUGGCCCUGUCCACCAGAGGGCCCAGCCCUGCGUGUGCUGAGACUAGCCGACUAGCCUCAGGACUCCCGGGCCCUGGAGCCAGAGACCCUGGCUCCACCCACCAGUGGGCAGACACCAGCUCCAGGACCCUCAGGGCCCUGCAGCCAGAAGUCUGAAGACCAAGUUUUACCCACCAGUGGGUAGACACAAGCCCCAGGACUACUGCAGCUUGCCAUGUCAGUACCCCCUGGGCCUGACCAUCAGCAGGCUAACAUCUGCUCUGAGACACCUUGAGUCCCUCAGCUAGCAGUCCCAGGAUCUGGCCCCACCUACCAGUGGGGUGACACCAGCUCCGAGACACCUUGUAUCUCUCACCAGCAGGCCAGCACCAGCUUUGGGACACCCUGGAACUCACAGCCAGCCAUGUCAGGAACCGGCUCUGCAGUCACCCACUCCAGAACCCAGCUCUGCCUACAAGCCAGCCAGGACUACCCAGGGGAAUCCCGGGACUCUGCAGCCAGCUAUCUCAUGCCCUGCCCCACCAGCUAGCAGUCUCCACACAAGGCAGAGCCUCACACCAACCUAAUAGGAAGCCAGCCACACCUACCAGACUACCCACAGUAGUCAGCUCAUCACAAAAAGAAGGACCCAUGCAGCCCAUGUAGGGGGCACCCCUAUAGCAUAUAGCUCUGGUGAUCAGAGGGGAGUAUGCUGCUGGGACACACAGGAUGUCUCCUACAAAAGGCCACUUCUCCAGGGUGAGAAAACAUAAUCAACCUACCAAAUACAUCGAAAUAAAAACAGCAAAUUAGGGAAAAUGAGGCAACAGAGGAAUAUAUCUCAAAUGAAAGAAUAAGAUAAAACCCCAGAAGAAUUAACUGAACUGAAGAUAGAUAGACAACCUAUCCAAUAAAGAGUUCAAGGUAAUGAUUGUAAAGAUACUCAAAGAACUUGGGAGAAAAAUGGGUGAAUACAGUAAGAAGAUUAACAAAGAGAAAGAAACAGAGCUAAAGAAUAGAAAAACUGAAAUAAAAAAUACACUAAAAGGAUUAAAUAGUAGAUUAGAUGAUACAGAGGAAUGGAUCAGUGAACUGGAAAGCAGAGUAGUGGAAACAAUUGAAGUUGAACAGAAAAAAAGAAUUUAAAAAAUGAGGACAAUUCAGAAACCUCUGUGAUAUAACAUCAAAUGUACUAACAUUCACAUUAUACAGCUCCCAGAUGGAGAACAGAGAGAGAAAUGGGAAGAGGACCUAUUUGAUGAUAUAAUAGCUAAAAACUGCCCUAACCUGGGAUAGGAAAUAGACAACCAGGACCAGGAAGCACAGAACCCAAAACAGGAACCCGAAGAUGAUCAUACCAAGACACAAUGUAAUUAAAAUGGCAAAAAUUAAAGAUAAAGGGAGAAAAUUAAAAUCAGCAAGGGAUGCUGGAGAGGGUGUGGGCGUCUCAGGGAACCCUUCUAUAUUGUUGGUGGGAAUGUAAACUGGUACAGCCACUAUGGAGAACAGUAUGGAGGUUCCUUAAAAAACUAAAUAUAGAACUACCAUACGACCCAGCAAUCCCACUACUGGGCAUCUAUCUGGAGAAAAGAUAGAUGCACCACAAUGUUCACUGCAGCACUAUUUACAAUAGCCAGGACAUGGAAGCAACCUAAAUGUCCAUCAACAGACGAAUGGAUAAAGAAGAUGUGGUACAUAUAUACAGAGGAAUAUUACCCAGCCAUAAAAAAGAAAAAAAUAAUGCCAUUUGCAGCAACAUGAAUGGACCCAGAGAUUGUCAUACUGAGUGAACAAAGAUCACAUGAUAUCACUCAUAUGUGGAAUCUAAAAAGGCUACAAAUGAACUUAUCUACAAAACAGUAAUAGAGUUUGGGACUUCCCUGGUGGUCCAGUGGUAAAGAAUACACCUUACAAUGCACGGGACACGGGUUUGAUCCCUGGUCAGGGAACUAAGAUCCCACAUGCCAUGGGGCAAAUAAGCCCAUGCGCCACAACUACUCAGCUUGCGUGCCUCAACUAGAGAGCCUGUGUGCCACAAACUAUAGAGCCCACACGCCCUGGAGCCUGCGUGCCACAACUAGAGAGAGAAAACCUGCACGCCGCAACUAGAUAGAAGCCUGUACACCACAACAAAAAUCCCGCAUGCCUCAAUGAAGAUCCCGUGGGCUGCAACUAAGAUCUGAUGCAGCCAAAAAUAAAAUAAAGAAUAAAGAAAUCUUAAAAAAAAAAAACCAGAAAUAGAGUUACAGAUGUAGAAAAUAAACUUAUGGUUAC